rnacentral:rRNA from 1 species
UACGUAGGGACCGAGCGUUGUCCGGAAUCAUUGGGCGUAAAGAGCGUGUAGGCGGCCACUUAAGUCCUGCGUGAAAUCUUGCGGCUCAACCGCAAGCGGUCGUGGGAAACUGGGUGGCUAGAGUGCGGGAGAGGAGAGUGGAAUUCCUGGUGUAGCGGUGGAAUGCGCAGAUAUCAGGAAGAACACCCGUGGCGAAGGCGGUCUCUGGGCCUUACCUGACGCUGAGGAGCGAAAGCGUGGGGAGCGAACAGG